AAGAUUAAGCCAUGCAUGUCUAAGUAUAAGCAACUAUACGGUGAAACUGCGAAUGGCUCAUUAAAUCAGUUAUCGUUUAUUUGAUAGUACCUUACUACAUGGAUAACCGUGGUAAUUCUAGAGCUAAUACAUGCUAAAAAACCUCGACUUCGGAAGGGGUGUAUUUAUUAGAUAAAAAACCAAUGCCCUUCGGGGCGUCCUUGGUGAAUCAUAAUAACUUAACGAAUCGCAU
rnacentral:rRNA from 1 species